rnacentral:rRNA from 1 species
GAUGAACGCUGGCGGCGUGCCUAAUACAUGCAAGUCGAGCGAACGGACGAGAAGCUUGCUUUUCUGAUGUUAGCGGCGGACGGGUGAGUAACACGUGGAUAACCUACCUAUAAGACUGGGAUAACUUCGGGGAACCGGAGCUAAUACCGGAUAAUAUUUUGAACCGCAUGGUUCAAAAGUGAAAGACGGUCUUGCUGUCACUUAUAGAUGGAUCCGCGCUGCAUUAGCUAGUUGGUAAGGUAACGGCUUACCAAGGCAACGAUGCAUAGCCGACCUGAGAGGGUGAUCGGCCACACUGGAACUGAGACACGGUCCAGACUCCUACGGGAGGCAGCAGUAGGGAAUCUGCCGCAAUGGGCGAAAGCCUGACGGAGCAACGCCGCGUGAGUGAUGAAGGUCUUCGGAUCGUAAAACUCUGUUAUUAGGGAAGAACAUAUGUGUAAGUAACUGUGCACAUCUUGACGGUACCUAAUCAGAAAGCCACGGCUAACUACGUG